GAUCCUGGCUCAGGAUGAACGCUGGCGGCGUGCCUAACACAUGCAAGUCGAACGGAGUCGAUUUGGAAAAUCCUUCGGGAUUGGAAUUCUCGACUUAGUGGCGGACGGGUGAGUAACGCGUGGGUAACCUGCCUUAUACAGGGGGAUAACAGUCAGAAAUGGCUGCUAAUACCGCAUAAGCGCACAGAGCUGCAUGGCUCAGUGUGAAAAACUCCGGUGGUAUAAGAUGGACCCGCGUUGG
rnacentral:rRNA from 1 species